GUGAUUCAGAUGUUUAUAUUUAUCCCAGAUUUGGUAGGCAAUUAUGGCAUUGAACAUGUGACAAUAGUAAAGUAAAAAAUAAUCAUAUGUUGGUCUCAAAAUCAUAUAGAUUUUCUACUGACAAGGUAUUAAUUUCCAUUACAUUUGACUUCUUAGUUUACUGUAAUGACUGCAUUACCAGUUCUCUCUAUAUGAAUGUAUGUAUUGAUUACUGUCCCUGUUUAAUUAAAUUAUGUGCUUAUUGGCCGAGUAAUCUAACGCUGAUGCUAUAGACCAUAAGGUCUGUCUUUAUUUAGGGGUGUCCAAAUAUGCAUUUUAGAUCAUAAGGUCUCUCAUUGAGUCAGUGGCAUGUUUUCGAUUCCCCGCUUGUCCGAAAAUAUGGGUUUUCUCGGUUCUCCAGUUUCCUCCCACUGCUAAAGACCCCUAAGAACAAGUGCAUUAUUGAAAUAAAGUUGAAUCAUGUGUUAUGCCCAAAAUGAUCUAGGUUGUGUUCAGCAGACAUUAAACCCCAUAUCUCUCUAUCAUCAGUUCAAGUGGUUUCUUGUGGGUUUUUUCAGGCAUAUAAGUGAAAUAUCAUGCUAAUCCCAAAAUUACCCAAUCUGUGGUUAACCCCAUAGCUUUCACUGUCAUUUAUGAAACUGAUUUACAGAACUGUUUACUUGCUUAUUAUAUCAUAAAAUGCUAGUGUGUGCAUUCAGUUUCUUCCAAAUAGUAUAGCCUUUAAAAAAGUCAAUAUUUUCUUUAUGACAGAAUUCACUGGACAACAAAGUCUUUUACUAUUUAAGAUAGUUAGAAAUUAUUUAUUUUAAUUGUUCAUUUCCUUUAAUGUGUGUGAGUGGAUAUUUUAUUGAUAGAAGAUGGCUGCAACAGGAUGGAUAAUUUGCAUGCUUUUGGUAUUAAUAAAUAUGUGUUUGGUUUUCUGUAAUGCAAAUGGUGAAUUAAAAAUUAAAGUUUUGAGAAUCAGAAGAUUGUAAAACUAAAGUUUCCACAGGUGAUCAUUUGUUAUCAGUGUAGAUUGAUAGAUGGAGAUGGAAAACUUAUAGGAAACACCUAUGCAGAUGAACCUGAAACAUUUAAGAUUGGGGAUUAUGAAGUUAUUUCAGGUCUUGAGGAUGGAAUCGUCUCUAUGUGUGUUGGCAUGCAACAGUGGGCCUGACAGACUGACAUUGAGGACCGGAUCCGGCCACAGGCCAUAGAUUGGUGACCCCUGAGCUAUGGGAACAUAGCUUAAAAUGUUGAGAUAUACUGAUUUGCUCGUUUUUAGCUAUGAUUGGGUGGGGACUUUCAAAAGUUUAGUAUGUACUAGUACUGUUUGUCCCUUUAGGAGUUGCUCAUUUAGAUUUGUUCAAAUGAAGUUGUCCAGUACCCGUUACUUAAUUACCAUAGUUAUGAUAAUUUGGCUUCCACAAAAGAUAUGUGAUUUUGGUUUAUUUAUUAGUGACAUUUUUCAGAGAGAAGAGAUCUUUAGAAGUUCCUCCUGAAAUGGCUUAUGGGAUUGAAGGCAAGCCACCUACUAUACCAUGCAUAUAUCAAUUACUACUUAUUUUCAUUGGUUCAAUUUAAUUUUGGACAUAAUGUCUUAUUAUCUCUUCACUUAUUUCCGAAUUCUAACAAUGGAUAGAUAAUGACAACCCAAUGUACAGAGUCAAAUACAUUAAUCUGCAUAAUAACACAAUGACUGACGGUCACUGACCCAUACAGUGAUCUACAAUAAAUUUCAACACCUUUUAAACCUAUGCCUAUAAACUGCAACAAUAACCUAAAAAAAUAUUCUGGAAAACAACAAAAAUGUAGUAAAAUAGUAAAAUUUAGCUUUAAUGAUGAGUUCUUGAAGCUUACUGGCAGAGUGGAAGGGCUGGAUUAUAGAAACUACAUAAUAACAAAUUUCUUGAUUCUGAAUAUAUAUAAUAAAUUUGUUCUUUGUUUUGUUUUUUAGGUAACACCAACCUUUUAUUUGAAGUUGAAUUAUUAGAAGUAAAAAGAUCAUUUCUAGCAAAUAUUUUAGACAAACAUCUGUGGUUAGUUAUUUAUUCUGUGGCAGGCAUAUUCCUAUGUUUUUAGUUAUAUUGAAAUGUUUAGCAAAUUUACCAUCACAGAAGAAAAAAAUUGCCGAAAAUAAAAAAAAUAUAAUUUACUUUAUUGAAAAUUGAUCUCUUGAUAAAUGCACCAGAAAUUUGGCUCAGUCUAACUUGUCCUCUUAACUCAUAAUUUACAUUUAUUCUUCAAGUUCAAUGUACCUAGUAGCAAUGAAAAAACCCCAGGAAAAUCCAGGAGAUUUUUCAAUUCAUAAAAUAACAUUGAAAUGUGGUUGUAUAUUGUCUUCGACCCCGUCCGUCCGGCGUCCACAAUUGGUUGUUGACGCUCUAGAGGCUAAAGUUAAUAUCCGAUUGACUUUAAAUUUAUAUACAGUGUUUAAGGUCAUGAGACAAAGAAGUCUAUUGAUUUUCAGCGAUUUCCGAUAAUUACUCCCAGAGUUAUGGCCCUUGAUCACUUAAAAAAAUCUUGUGGACGCUCUAGAGGCUAAAGUUAAUAUUCGAUUGACUUUAAAUUUAUACACAGUGUUUAAGGCCAUGAGACGAAGAAGCCUAUUGAUCACCGCACAGAUUCGGAAUCUACGAAAAAAACUGGUCUAGAAAAACUUGGUCUCAUAAAUUUACAGCUCGGGUGGCGAUUCCCCCCCUUCAGCCACCGGACUACACCCCCCUACCUACCUCCCUUCACCUUGGAUGCAGGCUGUAUCAAAAGGGCUGUCAUUGAGUCAAUUACUGGCGUGGUUUCGACUCCCCGGUUGUACAUAACAAAGAGUAGAGUCGCCUGCCAAACCUCAUGGGUUUUCUCCAGGCCCUCCACUUUCCUCCCACUGCUAAAGACCCCUACGCGCAAGCAAAUUAUUGAAAUAAAAAAAUAGAACCAUAUAUUAGUCCCGAAAUGACCUAUUUUGUGUUGGGUGGACGUUAAACCCCAUUUCUCUCUUUCUCUCUCUCUCUCUCACUAUCCUCUGUGUACAGACAUGGUUCCACUACAAGUGUAGAUGUCUUAAAAUAACAAUUAUUCAUGCUGAUCGAGGUUGACACUAUGAAAAUAAUACCACUACCAGUUACAAAUGUACCUUUUUGUGGAUAAAUCAGUAUAAAAUUC